UGCCCGGUGUUUAUAUAAACGGCCGNAGUACCUAUGACUGUGCUAAGGUAGCAUAAUCAAUUGGCUAUUAAUUGUAGUCUAGUAUGAAUGAAGUAAUGAAUAGUAGCUAUAAUAAAAAAUAUUAUUUUAAUUUAAUGAACUGGUGAAAAUACCAGUAUAUAGAAAAAAGACGAGAAGACCCUUAGAGUUUUUGAAAUAAAGAUUGUUUAAGACUUUAAUUUAGACUACUCUUAAAGUAAUUAUACAAUACACUUUUUUGUUGGGGCGACAAGAAAGCAAUAUAACCUUUCUAUUGACACUAAAAGUGGUAUUAGAUCUGACGAUAUUAUUAUGAAUGACUAAACUACCUGAGGGAUAACAGCAUAAUGAUAA
rnacentral:rRNA from 1 species